rnacentral:rRNA from 1 species
ACGGGUGAGUAAUGUCUGGGGAUCUGCCCGAUGGAGGGGGAUAACUACUGGAAACGGUAGCUAAUACCGCAUAACGUCGCAAGACCAAAGUGGGGGACCUUCGGGCCUCACACCAUCGGAUGAACCCAGAUGGGAUUAGCUAGUAGGUGGGGUAACGGCUCACCUAGGCGACGAUCCCUAGCUGGUCUGAGAGGAUGACCAGCCACACUGGAACUGAGACACGGUCCAGACUCCUACGGGAGGCAGCAGUGGGGAAUAUUGCACAAUGGGCGCAAGCCUGAUGCAGCCAUGCCGCGUGUAUGAAGAAGGCCUUCGGGUUGUAAAGUACUUUCAGCGGGGAGGAAGGGAUGAGGGUUAAUAACCUUCGUCAUUGACGUUACCCGCAGAAGAAGCACCGGCUAACUCCGUGCCAGCAGCCGCGGUAAUACGGAGGGUGCAAGCGUUAAUCGGAAUUACUGGGCGUAAAGCGCACGCAGGCGGUUUGUUAAGUCAGAUGUGAAAUCCCCGGGCUCAACCUGGGAACUGCAUUUGAAACUGGCAAGCUUGAGUCUCGUAGAGGGGGGUAGAAUUCCAGGUGU